GACGGGUGAGUAAUGCCUAGGAGUCUGCCUGGUAGUGGGGAUAACGUUCGGAAACGGACGCUAAUACCGCAUACGUCCUACGGGAGAAAGCAGGGGACCUUCGGGCCUUGCGCUAUCAGAUGAGCCUAGGUCGGAUUAGCUAGUUGGUGAGGUAAUGGCUCACCAAGGCGACGAUCCGUAACUGGUCUGAGAGGAUGAUCAGUCACACUGGAACUGAGACACGGUCCAGACUCCUACGGGAGGCAGCAGUGGGGAAUAUUGGACAAUGGGCGAAAGCCUGAUCCAGCCAUGCCGCGUGUGUGAAGAAGGUCUUCGGAUUGUAAGGCACUUUAAGUUGGGAGGAAGGGCAUUAACCUAAUACGUUAGUGUUUUGACGUUACCGACAGAAUAAGCACCGGCUAACUCUGUGCCAGCAGCCGCGGUAAUACAGAGGGUGCAAGCGUUAAUCGGAAUUACUGGGCGUAAAGCGCGCGUAGGUGGUUUGUUAAGUUGGAUGUGAAAUCCCCGGGCUCAACCUGGGAACUGCAUUCAAAACUGACUGACUAGAGUAUGGUAGAGGGUGGUGGAAUUUCCUGUGUAGCGGUGAAAUGCGUAGAUAUAGGAAGGAACACCAGUGGCGAAGGCGACCACCUGGACUAAUACUGACACUGAGGUGCGAAAGCGUGGGGAGCAAAC
rnacentral:rRNA from 1 species